GAAGGUUACAAUGAGGAUAACAAGCUCCCUCUUCUGAUUUGAAGUUGAGGACGAAUGCUGGCAGAAUCGAACCUAAUUCUCAAAAUUGCCACCACUGAGUAA